CAGUAGCCGCGGUAAAACGUAGGUGGCAAGCGUUGUCCGGAAUUAUUGGGCGUAAAGCGCGCGCAGGCGGUUUUUUAAGUCUGGUGUCUAAGUGCGGGGCUCAACCCCGUGACGCACUGGAAACUGGGAGACUUGAGUGCAGAAGAGGAGAGCGGAAUUCCACGUGUAGCGGUGAAAUGCGUAGAGAUGUGGAGGAACACCAGUGGCGAAGGCGGCUCUCUGGACUGUAACUGACGCUGAGGCGCGAAAGCGUGGGGAGCAAACAGGAUUAGAUACCCGGGUAGUCCCUGUCUCUUAUACA
rnacentral:rRNA from 1 species